rnacentral:rRNA from 1 species
UACGUAGGUGGCAAGCGUUGUCCGGAAUUACUGGGUGUAAAGCGCGUGUAGGCGGCAGACCAAGUCGGCGGUGAAAGCGCCCGGCUCAACUGGGCGAGGUCCGUGGAAACUGGUCAGCUGGAGGACGGUAGAGGCGAGUGGAAUUCCCGGUGUAGUGGUGAAAUGCGUAGAGAUCGGGAGGAACACCUGUGGCGAAGGCGGCUCGCUGGGCCGGUCCUGACGCUGAGAGACGAAAGCUAGGGGAGCAAAUGGG